CAAAACUCUACGCCGGCCGCCACUCUCUUCACCCAGUUUCUUUCUCCGGCCAACUUAUUCCGAGCAGUUUCUACUGAGAAAUGGAAUUCUUCGAAACUUGGGAUAAUAGGCCCGUUUUUUGACCCUUAUCUGCUUAAAUACAAGGUUUGGCUCCACAACCAAGUUAUUCAGCUAUCCCUAAUUAUCCAUCAUUCUCGCUGAAACUGAAUUUAUUUUAGAACUGCUGUGCUAGAAUGGGAGGUUCUCUACAAUUUCACUUCUUCAGUUGCAACAUUUUGCUAAAGGGAAUAAACUCAACCGGGUUAUCGGAUAAGUUAAAUGUAUCCUCUGCUCUUAAACAUUCCAAGAAGCAGGGUGAACUUUCUCUUACUAUCUCUGAUGCUGCUGAUCAGAAGAAAGUUCAGAAGGCUGGAAAAGUAGAACAUCACUUAUGGAAGAAAAGAGAAUCUGCUGGAUCUGGACAAAAAGCGCUGAAUCUUGUUCGAAUUAUUUCUGGACUUCCAAAUGAGAAAGAGUCUGUUUAUGGUGCAUUAGAUAAAUGGAUUGCAUGGGAGACAGAGUUUCCAUUGAUUGCAGCUGCUAAGGCUCUAAGAAUCUUAAGGCAACAACGGCUGUGGAAACGAG
rnacentral:misc_RNA from 1 species